rnacentral:rRNA from 5 species
UUAAAUUGAAGAGUUUGAUCAUGGCUCAGAUUGAACGCUGGCGGCAGGCCUAACACAUGCAAGUCGAACGGUAACAGGAAGCAGCUUGCUGCUUUGCUGACGAGUGGCGGACGGGUGAGUAAUGUCUGGGAAACUGCCUGAUGGAGGGGGAUAACUACUGGAAACGGUGGCUAAUACCGCAUAACGUCGCAAGACCAAAGAGGGGGACCUUCGGGCCUCUUGCCAUCAGAUGUGCCCAGAUGGGAUUAGCUAGUUGGUGAGGUAACGGCUCACCAAGGCGACGAUCCCUAGCUGGUCUGAGAGGAUGACCAGCCACACUGGAACUGAGACACGGUCCAGACUCCUACGGGAGGCAGCAGUGGGGAAUAUUGCACAAUGGGCGCAAGCCUGAUGCAGCCAUGCCGCGUGUAUGAAGAAGGCCUUCGGGUUGUAAAGUACUUUCAGCGGGGAGGAAGGUGUUGUGGUUAAUAACCACAGCAAUUGACGUUACCCGCAGAAGAAGCACCGGCUAACUCCGUGCCAGCAGCCGCGGUAAUACGGAGGGUGCAAGCGUUAAUCGGAAUUACUGGGCGUAAAGCGCACGCAGGCGGUCUGUCAAGUCGGAUGUGAAAUCCCCGGGCUCAACCUGGGAACUGCAUUCGAAACUGGCAGGCUUGAGUCUUGUAGAGGGGGGUAGAAUUCCAGGUGUAGCGGUGAAAUGCGUAGAGAUCUGGAGGAAUACCGGUGGCGAAGGCGGCCCCCUGGACAAAGACUGACGCUCAGGUGCGAAAGCGUGGGGAGCAAACAGGAUUAGAUACCCUGGUAGUCCACGCCGUAAACGAUGUCUACUUGGAGGUUGUGCCCUUGAGGCGUGGCUUCCGGAGCUAACGCGUUAAGUAGACCGCCUGGGGAGUACGGCCGCAAGGUUAAAACUCAAAUGAAUUGACGGGGGCCCGCACAAGCGGUGGAGCAUGUGGUUUAAUUCGAUGCAACGCGAAGAACCUUACCUGGUCUUGACAUCCACAGAACUUUCCAGAGAUGGAUUGGUGCCUUCGGGAACUGUGAGACAGGUGCUGCAUGGCUGUCGUCAGCUCGUGUUGUGAAAUGUUGGGUUAAGUCCCGCAACGAGCGCAACCCUUAUCCUUUGUUGCCAGCGGUUAGGCCGGGAACUCAAAGGAGACUGCCAGUGAUAAACUGGAGGAAGGUGGGGAUGACGUCAAGUCAUCAUGGCCCUUACGACCAGGGCUACACACGUGCUACAAUGGCGCAUACAAAGAGAAGCGACCUCGCGAGAGCAAGCGGACCUCAUAAAGUGCGUCGUAGUCCGGAUUGGAGUCUGCAACUCGACUCCAUGAAGUCGGAAUCGCUAGUAAUCGUGGAUCAGAAUGCCACGGUGAAUACGUUCCCGGGCCUUGUACACACCGCCCGUCACACCAUGGGAGUGGGUUGCAAAAGAAGUAGGUAGCUUAACCUUCGGGAGGGCGCUUACCACUUUGUGAUUCAUGACUGGGGUGAAGUCGUAACAAGGUAACCGUAGGGGAACCUGCGGUUGGAUCACCUCCUUACCUUAAAGAAGC